ACUCGACUCAGAAAAAAAAUGCGUGGGAUAUUUUAGCCGAAAAAAUAAAAGUUAUAGACCCAACGGCCAACGCCGUGACUGCAAAGAAAAAGAUAGACAAUCUUAGGAUUUCGUAUACAAGAGAAUAUAAGAAGGUCAAAGAAUCAAAAAACCGAACUGGAUCGUCUGCUAGUGACAUUCAUAAGCCAAGUCUGUGGUAUUAUGACUUAUUGUCAUUCUUGGA